rnacentral:rRNA from 1 species
UACGGAGGAUCCGAGCGUUAUCCGGAUUUAUUGGGUUUAAAGGGUGCGUAGGCGGCUUUUUAAGUCAGGGGUGAAAGACGGUAGCUUAACUAUCGCAGUGCCUUUGAUACUGAUGGGCUUGAAUACACUAGAGGUAGGCGGAAUGUGACAAGUAGCGGUGAAAUGCAUAGAUAUGUCACAGAACACCAAUUGCGAAGGCAGCUUACUAAAGUAUGAUUGACGCUGAGGCACGAAAGCGUGGGGAUCAAACAGG